CCUACGGGAGGCAGCAGUGGGGAAUAUUGCUCAAUGGGGGAAACCCUGAUGCAGCGACGCCGCGUGAAGGAGGAAGGAUUACGGUAUGUUAAAUUCUAUCAGCAGGGAAAAAAAUGACGGUACCUGUCCAAGAAUCCCCGGCUAACUACGGGCCAACCGCCGUGGUAAUACGUAGGGGGCAAGCGUGAUCCGGAUUUACGGGGUGUAAAGGGAGCGUAGGCGGUGCAGUAAGUGCGAAGGGAAAGCCCUGGGUCCAAACCCGGGACUGCUUUUGAAACUGUUGAACUAGAUUGCAGGAGAGGUAAGUGGAAUUCCUAGUGUAGCGGUGAAAUGCGUAGAUAUUAGGAGGAACACCAGUGGCGAAGGCGGCUUACUGGACUGUAAAUGACGCUGAGGCUCGAAAGCGUGGGGAGCAAACAGGAUUAGAUACCCUGGUAGUC
rnacentral:rRNA from 1 species